AAAAGAAACCAACAGGGAUUGCCUUAGUAGCGGCGAGUGAAGCGGCAAAAGCUCAAAUUUGAAAUCUGGCACUUUCAGUGUCCGAGUUGUAAUUUGAAGAAGGUAUCUUUGGGUCUGGCUCUUGUCUAUGUUUCUUGGAACAGAACGUCACAGAGGGUGAGAAUCCCGUGCGAUGAGAUGUCCCAGACCUAUGUAAAGUUCCUUCGAAGAGUCGAGUUGUUUGGGGAAUGCAGCUCUAAGUGGGUGGUAAAUUCCAUCUAAAGCUAAAUAUUGGCGAGAGACCGAUAGCGAACAAGUACAGUGAUGGAAAGAUGAAAAGAACUUUGAAAAGAGAGUGAAAAAGUACGUGAAAUUGUUGAAAGGGAAGGGCUUGAGAUCAGACUUGGUAUUUUGUAUGUUACUCUCUCGGGGGUGGCCUCUACAGUUUACCGGGCCAGCAUCAGUUUGAGCGGUAGGAUAAGUGCAAAGAAAUGUGGCACUGCUUCGGUAGUGUGUUAUAGUCUUUGUCGAUACUGCCAGCUUAGACUGAGGACUGCGGCUUCGGCCUAGGAUGUUGGCAUAAUGAUCUUAAGUCGCCC
rnacentral:rRNA from 1 species